rnacentral:rRNA from 1 species
UACGUAGGGGGCAAGCGUUGUCCGGAUUUAUUGGGCGUAAAGAGCGUGUAGGCGGCCUGAAAGGUCAGCUGUGAAAACUCGAGGCUCAACCUCGAGACGUCGGUUGAAACCAUCUGGCUAGAGUCCGGAAGAGGAGAGUGGAAUUCCCGGUGUAGCGGUGAAAUGCGCAGAUAUCGGGAAGAACACCCGUGGCGAAGGCGGCUCUCUGGGACGGUACUGACGCUGAGACGCGAAAGCGUGGGGAGCGAACGAGGA